rnacentral:rRNA from 1 species
UCGCUUCGGGAGGGCCUCGCGGCCUAUCAGCUUGUUGGUGGGGUAACGGCCUACCAAGGCGUCGACGGGUAGCUGGUCUGAGAGGACGAUCAGCCACACUGGGACUGAGACACGGCCCAG